rnacentral:tRNA from 13 species
GCGGGUAUAGUUGAAUGGUACAACUAUAGCUUCCCAAGCUAUCGGUGAGGGUUCGAUUCCCUCUACCCGCUCCA